UACGAAGGGGGCUAGCGUUGCUCGGAAUCACUGGGCGUAAAGGGUGCGUAGGCGGGUCUUUAAGUCAGGGGGGAAAUCCCCAAGCUUAACUUGGGAACUGCAUUCGAGACUGCAUAGCUAGAGUAUGGGAGAGGGAAGUGGAAUUUCAGGUGUAGCGGUGAAAUGCGUAGAUAUCUGAAGGAACAUCAGUGGCGAAAGCGACUUCCUGGACCAAUACUGACGCUCAUGUGCGAAAGCGUGGGGAGCAAACAGG
rnacentral:rRNA from 1 species